CCAUAUCACGUUGAUACACAGGUCCCCGUACAAUCACCAAAGUUAAGCGUCGUCGAACCUGGUCAGUACUUAGAUAAGUUACCGCUUUGGAAUACUAGAUGCUGUAAG